rnacentral:rRNA from 1 species
UCUACGGGAGGCUGCAGUGGGGAAUAUUGCACAAUGGGCGCAAGCCUGAUGCAGCCAUGCCGCGUGUGUGAAGAAGGCCUUCGGGUUGUAAAGCACUUUCAGCGGGGAGGAAGGCGGUGAGGUUAAUAACCUCAUCGAUUGACGUUACCCGCAGAAGAAGCACCGGCUAACUCCGUGCCAGCAGCCGCGGUAAUACGGAGGGUGCAAGCGUUAAGCGGAAUUACUGGGCGUAAAGCGCACGCAGGCGGUCUGUCAAGUCGGAUGUGAAAUCCCCGGGCUCAACCUGGGAACUGCAUUCGAAACUGGCAGGCUAGAGUCUUGUAGAGGGGGGUAGAAUUCCAGGUGUAGCGGUGAAAUGCGUAGAGAUCUGGAGGAAUACCGGUGGCGAAGGCGGCCCCCUGGACAAAGACUGACGCUCAGGUGCGAAAGCGUGGGGAGCAAACAGGAUUAGAUACCCGUGUAGUC